GACAGAAUGCAGUGGUGUCCUUCAAGGAGCUGUGUGGCCUGUCCUCAGUGGCCAAUCUCAUGCAGUGCAUGCUGGCGGUGUCUCCCCGCUUUCUGGGGCCUGAUAACAACCCCCUGGUGGUCCUGAAUCUCAGCGAGCCAUAUCCCACGAUGGAGUUACAGGGCAUCGUGCCAGAAGUUCUGAAGAAGAUUGUAACGACUUAUGACAUGGUGAGUGGUGUUUGUCCCAUCGUGUAGGCUGGUGCCAGAGAUGUCUUUAGACAACAUGCCAUAUGUCCUGAGGAGCUCUUGCUGAAGUGUGCGUUUUUAUUUCAUGCUUCGUUUGUCUGUGUCGGAGAAGUAACUCCCCUAGCCUUGCUGUAAUGGAAAGAGUUUAAUGUUUUGUUAUUGUUUUAGAAAGCAGGAUUCAUUCAGAGAAUUACUUGCUCACUUGCUUCAGUUGGAUUAAACAUGAGUUAGCUUCUCAAGAACUAUGUCUGAAUUGAUUUCUAAAGGAUGCCUUAUUUUCUACAUAUAUGUCGUAAAGAAUUUUAUCUCCUCUUGUAACCAUCUAUUGAUUUCUUUUGUUUUCAUAUCUCAACCUAGUGAAGAUGAGAAAUUUAAAUUAAAAAAUAAACUUGGAAUACCAGAAGGGGCAGGUGCUGCAUCUCAUUAUUCUACUGCAUGAUGGUUUCCUUCUUGCAGCAGCUGCUCUGAGACACCUGUGUUUGUCAUCAGCUUAAUGUUAAUGAGGUAUCCUCAGGACACCUAGAAUAUUACAUUUUUGCACUUAAGGUCUGUCUUAUAUUUUCUUUUUUUUUAAAUUUUUUUUAGUUGUUGAUAGAUCUUUAUUUUUAUUUAUUUAUAUGUGGUGCUGAGAAUCGAACCCAGUGCCUCACACAUGCCAGGCAAAUGCAUUACCGCUGAGCCCCAGCCCCAGCCCUAGUUCUGUCUUGUAUUUUCUUAAUUGCAUUUCACUGUUUUUGUCCUUUAUGAUUUAUCAUAACUCUAUGAGAGAAUUUAAUGGGCGAAUAGCACCUAUUUCAGACUCACGAUGUAGUUAAAGUGAUCAGAACUCACUGUGUAUACUGGUAGUGUCUUGUCAGCAUGUCAGGGUUAAGCAUAGGACACUCCCCUUCCAGAUAGGCCAGUUUGACAUCCUUUACCAUUCAGGGUAGUUGGGGGUAAAAUUCUCAUCCACCACCUCCUCCACUCUAGAAGCCCAAGCUAAGGCCACAGAGCACUAGGCUUUCUCUGAUGUAGCUUACAGUGCUCAAGGACCAAACAAGAUUGGCAUCAUAUAUCUACACUGAAACGUUUUUUGAAAACAUUUUUGACUGUUUUCAUAAAUUGGUCUGAAAGUGGUAGAUUAGAGAGAUUUAUGAAAUUAAAGGGAAAAUUAAAAACACUUCAGGUCAGCAUUUUCCACACUAUUCUGAGGAACCUUGGUUCUUUAGGAUGUUAGUAAAUACCACAUGGGGAGAUGGUUCCAUGAUGAAGUACUUCAGGGAAAUACUAGUCUGAACAAAACUGAUCAGAUACCAUUCUUAUAGGAUUUCUCGGAGCCUUAUCUUUCCUGGCACACUGUGCUCCAAGAGGGCAGUGGACAUGGAUAGUUAUCUUUCCUGGCACACUGUGCUCCAAGAGGGCAGUGGACAUGGAUAGAGCACUCCCUAUUUCACAUGUUGGCUUGACCAAUAGACUCCUGUUUCCAAAAACAAAAGUUCUGAAGAACACAUUUUGGGAAAUGCUUCUUUAAUCUUUGAGUAAGUCGGGAAGUACAAGCCAGAAGAAUGUAAUUGUUUUAAGCAAUUUAUUAGUUUAUUACCUCCUAAAAAGGUGAUUUCAAAGCUAUUUCCCCAUGUUCCUGUGAAGCAGGCACACAUCGUAGUGGCUGCUCAUAUCCUCUGCUAUUUCUAGCUCAGACUUCGUGGAAACACAAGAGAUGUGAGGGACUGAACACUGGACACCGUGGCAAACUACAGGGAGAGUCACCCACCCUGGAGAAAGUAGGAAGACUAGGGUUAGGUAUGUCUGAUAACCCUUGAGUGAUGCUGGGUGCCAGAGGGCUACAAAGAUGAGCAUGAAUGGCCUCUGUCUGGGAGCCAGCCAGUCCACUAGAAAAUGAUGGAGGAAGGACAGAAUUGCCAUAAUAGGCUCAUGCUGGGAUUUCUUGGGAAUAGGGAAAAUGGAAAGAUAGGAAAAAGAGAUUAAAAAUGGAGAAAUUUGAAGUAAUUUGCCACACUGUGAGCUAGACUAUGCAGUUAGUUGCUGAUUCCAGGUUUUAUGGGAAGAUGCCAGAGAGAAGUAGCUGAUGUUUAUAAGUGAAUGCCUUUAUUUAUUUAUUUAUUUUAAUUGGUGCUGGAGAUCAAACCGAGGGCUUUGCAUAUGUUCAACAAAUACUUUAUCACUGAGCUACACCACAACUCUGUAAAUGCUUUUCUAGCUUGAGCCACAAAUAAAAAUCAUAAACCUACUUCAUUGAUCAUUUCAGUGAUAGUCAUAUAGUAACGUUUCUUCACUUUAAGGUUUUUGACAGGGACUUCCUGACAGCGGAGUGGGGGUCACCAUGUAGGUGAUGACAUGGUUGACUGGCGCUGAGUGUAGAUCAGAGUAGAGUUGAAAGCCUGGCUGAACUCUUAGGGUCUCCUUAAAGCUCUUUAAGGACACAGAGACUGCCACAGCACCCACAACUAUAUUUGGCACAGGAAUUGCUCAAUGUCUCCUGCCCCUUCCUCUUCCUGGACUAGUAGAUGACAACACUUAUUGCAUAACUCUUAUUUGCAUCUAACUAUAUUUGUGUUAUUCUAGAAGGAAUAAGCUUGUUUAAAAGUUUUAAAUUGUGAGACUAUUCUUUUCUCAUGUUUAAUUGAAAUAGCUGUGCUGCUUGAUACUCCAUGGUUUAUAGAUUUGUUUUGUUUUUAAUUCCUUCUGGUAAACUUAUGUUAUAAAAUAUUUAAAAUUAAGUUCAAAUUAUUGCUGCAGCAAUAUUAUAACUCUUAGAAUAUUUUAUGGACUUUUUUAGUGACUUAAUAGUUUCUCACCUUAUGACAAUUAAUUAAAGCUAGCUAGAAUAGGGAAAACGUUGAUGGGAAAUGUAUUAUGGUCGUGGACAGUCUGUAACUUUAAAUAUAGCUCUUUAUUUUUUAUAGUGUUAUAUUGAGCUUGGCCCAAAAUUAACCUUAGGAGAAAGAUCUUAUUUCUUUGUUGACUUCCCAUUUAUAAUUUGAAGACUUCAAAUGAGAAGUAAGAGUGGGUUGAGAAAUCCCUGUCCAGAGCGCCUGUGUUGUUGUGUGUCUGUGCUGCUGACGCUGGUCCUGCUGAGGACAGUACUGUGCUGGCUCCCAUGGAUGAGCAGGUGUGUAUUGCUGCCAUCCAGACUGAGAUUGCUUCUCAGUUUAUACACUCUGGAUAAUGAAAUGGAGUGUCAUAAAUGUGCCAGUUUCUUUUUGAAAAGGGGGAAUGCAGAUCAUGAACAGAGAGCAGUGUGGAAGCCAGCAAUGAGGCCAGAAAGGCAGACCCAUGCACACAGUGUGGCUGCACAUCCCAGUUUUCCUAGGAUGGGUCUUGUUCAUAUAUACCUGUUGUUCUAGAAUAAUUGUUAAUCAUUCUCUUGUUGUCUCUUGAAAAUAUUCCUAUUCAGAAGAAAAGGAAAGAAAAUUAAUCUUUAAAACUUUUAACUAUCCCUAUUCAGAUGGUCAGUUGUGUUGUCACCUACCCAUUGACCCUAGAUUGUUCUUAUGUCUCCUGUGAUUACCACCAAUAGGCAGACUUUCAAAAGUCCUGAUUGUGGUUUUACCCUAUUUGUGAUGUCCCCCAUGAUGUUGCCAUGGAGUGGAAAAGAGCUUCAUGUUAGUGGAGGUUUACUGGGUAGACUGGGCCUUUAAAUGGCACUUCCUUGUCUCCAUGGUCCUGGUGUCCGUAAGUACCUCAUCCCAUUUCUUAGGGACUAAACCUAUGAGGAUUCAGCUUAUUCCUCUAGGUCAUCUGGACUCCUCCAGUCUACCCUCCCUGAUUCUUAAUGGAAAAGAUCCUUGAGUCCCUUUAUUCAAACCUAAUAUUUUCAACAGAUGGGGAAUGACUUCCAGUUAUUGAUCAGUAUUGCAAUAUACCAUAUACAUUAUUAUGUCAUACAUUAUGACCAGAUCAGAGAGUUGUGCUUUUUUACUUAAAUAAUUGAUUUGGUUUAGUUAAGAUAUCAUAUUGGUUUCUUCUGAAGUGGAAUAUAGUAAAAAAUUGAAUUUGUUUAUUUUAACAAAGCAUAUAAAAUAAGUAAUACUUGCAUUUUCCUUUUUAAAUAUAUAUAUAUUUUAGUUGUAGAUGGACACAGUUCCUAUAUUUAUUUUUAUAUGGUGCAGAGGAUCAAACCCAGUACCUCACAUGUAGGCAAGUACUCUACUACUGAGCUACAACCCUGGCCCAAACAUUUGCAUUUUCAUUGGUGAAAUCUACGCUUAUUUACAAACUCUUAUCACAUGCAAGGUCCUGAGCACUCAUCCAACAACACAUAUUUACUGAGUACCUACUGUGUACCAGGACCUGCAUACUCUGUAUAAUGUACAGUUUUCUUAAGGAUGGAUCAGUACUGUGUUUCAAAUGCACCCCUAUCCUCAUCAAUAUAAGAGAUCCAGUUCACCAUCUUUUGAAACUGAAAUUAUUUUUACCAACCUUUUCUUGUUGAUGACAGUGAGAAGUCAGCGCUCUAGCUAUCUUUGUUUAUUAGAUCCAGAUUUACCAUCUGCUUUAGACUUGAAUUAAUAAAAUUUUUAUGAGGUCCAUACUAACACAUGGGGACCAAGGAGUCAGCAUUCUUGCUCUAUAGAGAGAAAACAUUGGGAAUAUAAAGGUUUUGUGAAGUAUUAUAUAUUUUUUUAAAGUUUUUGCAACUUUUUUGAUUUUGUUAGUUUUUCUAUGAUAUGAAAUAUGCUUUGAUCAAUGUAAUGAAAUUGAAGAUGAAGUUGUAGGUAGUGAAAAAGAAAGAAAAAGAAAAAGUAAAGAUGAUGAAAGCCAGUGCUGUCUUGCAGGCAUAUGGUGGUUCACACACUGUGGCAGACUCUUGGGCAGCCCCUACCUGUUUGGAGGUUUUACACAAAUUCAUUCUUAUCACCACUGUUCCUUUGUUUCUACUUUCCAUUUGCAAUUAAUUUGUUUUGAUCAUUUCCUUGCAACUUAACAAAAAUCUUGGUUUUAAUUACCUUCAGGUUUAAUUAAGACAGCAUACUCUGAGGAACCCAUUUAUCUAGUACAGAACGGUAAUUUUUUUUUUUUUAAGGGAGGAACAAGAUGCUUUGUCUAAGAGGAUAUAAUUUGCACUCUGUUUUUGUGUAAGUUGCUGAGUAGUCUCUUCUAACACAUAACUUUAAAUAUUUUUUAACUAAAACAAGGUUCUUUAAAUAAAAUAUGUGAAAUGAAGACUGUUUCUUACACAGAAAUGUUGGCAAUAGGCAAGUGGCAUUAGGAACAUUCUGUUUUGUGUUGGUGGUAUGGUUUCAUGUACUUUUUCUAGCCACUGCUUAAUGCAGUAAGGAGAUAAAUCACACUUCAUAAUUAAUGGAGCCUGUUGGUCUGGACCAAGCCAGAGAUGAUCUGCAAUAAGGUUACUAUUGAUCCCCGUCUCCUUUGUGGCUCCUUUUAUCACUCUCCUGACUCAAAACUUGACAUUAAAAGCUUCUUUUAAUUGGAGGUGUCAACUUUACCAACUUUUAUAACUGUGGAAAAAAGGUCAGAUAGAAUAUUAUGCUUUGGGAUAAGAUUGAGCUAAAAAAAAAAAAAGAAGGAAGGUAAGAAAUGGAGGGAGGAAGAGAGGGAGCAGUGGUGGAGAGCAAGGGAAGGAGGGAUGGAGAGAGGAUGAGAGAAUGCAUCCUGUAGAAGGAAGAUCAGAAAUCCAAGGGCUAUAGAUCAAUUUGUUAACUAGAGAUAUUCAGUAAAUGUUUGCAAAAGAAUUCUCUCUAAAAUCAUCAAAAUAAUACAGCUGAGCUACUCCAGAAUGGUUUCAGUUGCUAAUGGAAAAGAAAGAAACAUUAAAAAGGUAGAGUGUGAUGAUGGUAUCAUUUUAUCAUCAGGUCAGAUGGAGCAGGCUGCCACAGGGUAACCAGUAGCAGGGAGGUUUGGAAAUUUUUUAAAGGUGGUGCUUCUAGGCUGCACAAUGGUGAUUACAAGAUAUUAUUUCCAAUCCAGUUUUUCUAUCUUUACAUGUCUUCUGGGAAACCAUUGAAGAACACAUAUUUUAAAAGUAUUCGUACACAUGCACACAUACAUCAGAUAUGUAAGUAAGGAACAACUGGGGAAGACUAGAAUUUGGGGGGCUGGCAGUCCUCUUGAAAAAGAGACUUCAUCAUGUAGUAGUUUUUGACAGAUAAGUUUGAUACCUCUCCAAGAGGACAGCAGUGAAAACCUUGAUGGAAUUCACAGUUUGUCAGAUGGUGUCCCCAGAGAAGAUAUGCUCAGUAGUACUAGUUGAACAUCCAUAAUCCAUAGUCCAUAUCUGCAUGCGCCAAAAUCCAUCCUGUCAGUGCUCAAAAAGUUUCAGAUUUGGAGACAGUUCAGAUUUUCAGAUUAGGGAUGUUUCAUAGGUGAAAUCUAUGCAAUUUUUUUUUUCUUUUUUGGUGGUGGUAGUGAUUGAACUUGGGGCCUUGCAUGUAUGAAGCAAGUAUUCCACCGCUGAGCUGCACUCACAGCUCCUCUGUUUUAGAUCCAAAUCUGAAACACUUCUGGUUCCAGGUAUUUUGCAUAAGGGAUAGUCAGCCUGUGUGAAGCAAGCCACUGUAUUGUCUGACUCACCCUCAGCCUGAUUUGAAAUGUCUAAGUAAACUAGGAACCAGUAGUUGGGUGCUGUCCAACCAUUAUCGUGAAUAAGAAAUGGGAGCCUGCUGUUGGCACAUUUUCUUAGGUAGAUUUCAUGUGAGCCAAGGCUACCUGGAAAACAGUUGCAGGGCACUGUUUUGGGGUCGUGUAUUCCGUAAGGUCUCCACUGUUUUAUUUCUCUGUAGAGAGCCUUUGUAUUGCCUUUUAAGGGGGCAUAUUUUCCAACAUUUUGUUUCCCUGAAUCUGAUAGAAAACAGCUAUGGAAUUUAUUUGAAACCUAAAACUCAAGAAAAGUCAGAGAAUUUCUUCCUAAACUUAUGCUUUAUGCAAAAUAACACUACUACAUUUUUAAUAAAACUAAGAUUGCUGAAGUACUGUAGUCUUUUUUUAAAUGAAAAAGCAGAGAAAUUGCUUCCUAUCAAAUUCCACAGUGAAUAUUAGAUUUUGCUCUUGUAUAAUUCCUUCAAAAUCUAUUUUUGAUGUUCUUUCUGUCUCUCUUUCUCUUUUUCUGUCUUUCUCUCAAUAGUGGGAAUUGAACCCGGAGAUGGUUUACCACUGAGUUAUAUCUCUAGACUUUUUUAUUUUGGGACAGUUUUGCUAAAUUGCUGAGGGUCUUGCCUUGUUGCCCAGGCUGGCCUUGAACUUCAGAUCCUCCUGCCUUGGCCUCCUGAAUCACUGGAAUUAUAGGCAUGGAAUAGCACCACCAACUAUGACUUCUCUUCUUUAUCAGAUGUGUCUUGUGUUUGUUUCUGCAGUGUCUGAAGGCACAUCCAGAGUUGUUUGCUAAGUUCUCUUUUUUCUCUCUCCAGGACACUACAGGAAAGGACUUGAUAUGACUUUGCAAUCCUGUACUUUAUGGGUAAUACAUAUAUUUCUUUUUGGUCAGCCAUAUGCACUGGCAGUUUUUCAAAGCUGUGAGGAGGCCUUGAGCUUCUUUACCCCAGUUUAUUCAGUGAUCCCUUGGUCUCUGCUAGAUGCUAAGCUGCCGUCUUCCCAUCUCUGGGGUCCUUACUCUAGUACCACCCUUCAUCACCUUCUGCCUGUGUGAUGGUUUGAGUUCAAACUUUACACUCCACCCAGGUGAAAGACAAAACAUAGCUAUCUUAUCUCUCUUAGGAGGUAGGUAUUUCUAAAUUUCUGUUCUGUUUGGCAAGCUAGAUCUGCAUUAAUUUACAUUGCCCCUUUGGACUGCAGGCUCAGCUCCUUAGGUGCAGCAAGCAGUCUCAGUCUUCCUCUUCUUUUUCUGUUGGCUCUACUGUGGCUGUCUGGAGAAGGUGGGGUUGCAUGAGUCUUCUUUUUGUGUCCUUGUCAACCUGCCCUGGAAAGCUGGCUGUCUUCCCCUCUUCCCCUCUACCCCCAUCUUGGCAUGAGACAGGCCUUGUGGUGGAGCUAAGGGCCUCUGCGUCACACACACUGCGAGAGGUGGGCUUCCAGCUUUCUUUCCACUGCGUCUUCCCUCCUCUGCUCUGGAAGUUGUGCACCCCUUGCCUUGCCUUUGUGGGCAGAAGGGAAAUCUCCUCACCCUAGGGGCUAAAACUGCAUGAUCUAUGGGCUGUUUCUUCAUAUGUGAAGAUAACUAAGAAAAUAGUUUCUUCUUGAUAUAUCCUGGCUUUUAAGGCUAUAAUUUUGGUAGGAAUCUGGGUGAGUAAAAAUCAAGUUGAAUCUUUAAAAUUGAGAAAUGUCUUUGUGUUUGUAAGUUACUCAUUUGUCACCUAAGCUCCAAGACUCAUCCUUUGAAUGAGUGGAAAGCUCCCUGGACAACAUGCUUUAUAAAAUAUGCCAACCUGUAUGAAAAUAAAUAUCCUUUUUACACUAUUGCCGUUGAACCUCGGUGAUUGCUGAAGCACCUGCCUUGCAGCCUUCCCCUUCCUGCAGCUCAGCUUCUGAAUUCCCCUAAAGACAUUCUCCUUGAAAUUUCAUAUAGAGGAAGGCCUGGGUGUUUCAGGGAGGAGCCAGAAGAAAGAGUGAGAAGUGAAGGUGUCAAGAUGUAGGCCAACUAGGAUUAGAUUAUCAUCAUUGAGAGAAAUAGAGCCAAUUGCUUUUUAGUACCUGACUGUGGUUGUCAGGUAAGUGACAUUUUUCUUAGAGCAUCUGGGGAAAGUAUCAUACCUUUGGUGCAUUUGGAUUGAUGAAGAAUUUGUAUAAAGCCUAAUAAUUGCCAAGAAGGGGGAAAAAAGAAGCUGGUGAUAACAGGAUUAACUGAAAAUGUGUGCCUCAUGCCUAUAUUCUUCUAGCAAUUGAAUCUUUCCAACACAAAAAUUUUUUAUUUGCCAUUAGAAAUAAACAUCAAAAACUACAAGUAAUAUACAACCCUUAAAAAAAAAGAGAUUUUUACAGCAUCCAGAAUCUGUGUGCUAUCUCAAAGUUUGUAAUUAUUCUUGUAGUGUCUGCAAAAUGGUAUUGUCUCUGCAAAAUGGUAUUGUCUCUGCAUCCAGAUUUGUGAAUUGUGAUUUUCCUCUUUGUGGAAAUUUUUUUCAAACAGAAAAGCAAUGAUCAAGAAAACAAAUAUCCUAAUUGCCUUGUAGUGUACAGUAAUUUGUGUAUCUUUACUUGUGGUGUUUCUGAGUUCCCUAUCCUUUCAGAGUGACAAAAAUGAAGACUAGCUGGCCUAGAACAUGCAAUUCAGAGCUCAUGAAUCAUCCAGCCUGUUUCUUCAUUGUGUUUGGGGGCUACCUGGCUCCCUGUUACCUUAGACCCAGAGGAGAGCCAUGUCCCUUUUUGAUACUCCUACCUAUGCUGUUGGCACAAAGGUGGUUGUGCCAGUACUUGCUGGCUUCUUUGAAAGAGAAAUCGAUGUAUUCAUCUUUAUAAGCUUGUAGAGGCCUGUGAUAGAAACCUUGGAGCUCCCCAAAUGGGCUCCAUUUCAAAACACCAAGCACUGUCUGGUCCACACUAAAUGGCAGGACCCAUGAAGUGUACCUUCACUGUUUAAUUGUCCUAAUAGAUUGACUUCUAACCAGGCGGGGAGGGGUGAAACCCAUGGUACCUACAUUUGGCACCAGAGGACGACGUAGAAUUCAGGAUGCUUUAUAGCCAGUUAAUGGAGAUAUUUUGCCUGAAUGAUUAUUUUAUCAGUGCUGGCUUCAAAGUGUGAUCUACAAUUAACUAAUACGAAUUACACGCAUUGGUACUUUUUAGAAAUACUUGUCUUUUGUCAGAUUCACCAAAAGGAUGAAUCAUUGACUUAUUCCAUUGUCUCAUCAUUGUCCACGUUUAGGUUAGAGUUUAGAAAACACAUAAGUUUUAGUCAUAAAAAUCAUAUUAUUUAUUUAUUUAUUUGUUUAUUUAUUUAGAUUUUCUGUAUCAUACCCUGACUUCAUAAAUCUAAGGUCCAUUCAUUGGGGAUUGAUCUAAUCCAUUGCCACCUCUUCUUGUGUGGUUUAGAGCUACAUGUGCUUUUUCAUUUAGAAGUUCAGCAGUGCUGGAAAGAUUGAAGUUACAUCAGAUACUUCUGUAAAAACCAUUAGUGGUCGUACAUAGAUUUAUGUACGGGAUGAUGGACAUGUACUUUGUAGACAAGCAGUCACAUUUUGGAGGACAGCUCUUUAAGGAAUGAAAUAAUUUGGAUGGAGUGUUACUUAUAAAAAUGAAGUUAUUGAAAUAACCAGAUUAUAUGGCAAAUCAUCUAUUUCAGAAUUGUUUUUGAGUCAGUGUAAUUGCUGACACCUUCUCAGGCCACUUUCUGGCAUCCUUUUUGGGCAAGGGGGCAGAACUAAUUUUUGACCACAUUACCUAUUUCCCUGGUCAUGACUUGAAAAACAUUUUUUUUAAUUUAAAAAGGCUGUUUUCCAUAGUCUUUUAAGAAUUAUUAUUAUUAGAGCUUUAUGGUUAUACAUAGUAGUUGGAUUCCUCAUGACGAACUCAUAUAAUGGAAAUCAAUUUUGGUUCAUGAUCCUCCUUUUCCCUCCCAUCCUUCUUCCUCUACUAGCCUUCCUUUCACUUGUAUAUUAAUUUACAUUUGAUUGUUUUUUUAUGUAAAUCUUAUCUUCUGUUCCCCCUUUCCUUUAUUUUACUCUAGUUUCUGCAAUGAGGAAAACAUUUGACCUUUGAGUUUCUGAGUUUGGCUUAUUUUACUUAGUGUGAUAUUCUGUAUUUCCAUCCAUUUACUAUCAAGUACCAUAACUUCAUUCUUUUAAAUUGCUGAUUGGAAUAUCAUUUAUUUAUACACACACACAUAUACAUACAUACAUACACACACACACACACACAUAUACAUAUAUACACAUACAUAUAUAUAUAUAUAUAUAUAUAUAUACACACAUAUAUAUGUAUGUAUAUACACACACACACACACAUACAUAUAUACACCACCAUAUAUAUAUAUAUAUAUAUAUAUAUAUAUAUAUGGUGGUGUAUAUAUAUUUUUUCCCUUAAUCUAUUGACAGGUAAUCUGGGUUGAUUCCAUAGUGUAGCUAUUGGGAAUUGUGCUGCUGUAAACAUUGAAGUGCAACCUUUUGGAUAACAAGGGAGUGACUUUUAUUCACAGUCAAAUGUAUUACUAUAAAAAACAUGUAGUACUUUAAUAAAGCUCUGAAGCCCAUAUUUUGUUGAUAGGUUUCAUUUGACCUCAAGUUCAUAAGAGAAAUGAAAUAGAGCCUUGCCUGUGGGUUCUUUGUUUCUCAGUUUCACUUGAGUGUGAAGACUCGUCCUCACCCUCAUCCUCACCCUCACCCUCACCCUUACCCUCACCCCAACCAGCCUUCUCAAAGCAGCAUCCUGGCUGGUGACUCCCUUCCGCAUGCUCACUGGUCUCCAGUGGGGUCUGUGGGAACCACCACUGUACUCUGUUUUGAUGGCACCUGUUUCUCACCCUUUUCACUUGUAUUCCCCCAGAUCACUGAAAAAUAACUGCCACUCCCACUGCUGUAGUAGUCACCUUUAAUAGCAGAAAGCUGGUUUGACUGCCAGAAGAAUUUAUCAGGAAUAAAAAUAGCAUUUAAUAAUGGUUUUAAAGUCUUUUCUAACUUAAUUAGGGCAUUUUUAAAUCCUGUCCCAUAACAAAAUUACCCUCACAGUAAACUCAGUGGGUGGACAAUAUGAUGUAUUAAGAGUUCAGUUUAACUCUACAAGCUUAAUUACUAAUUAGCUUAAAAUAGUAUCUUAAGAAGUUUAAAACAUUAGUAUUAGCAAAUCUUUAGGGCUAAAUGUUUUCUAUUUUUUAUAUGGAGGAUUCAUGUAGGCAAGCCUUCAUCUACUGUAUAGAAAUCCUUAAUUCAAGGAUUUUCUUUUAAAUCAGUAUGGAUGUUUCUAGUUUUCUUUCUAAUUAUUACAUUUCUAUAAUGGAAAGAGGUCAAAUGAAAUUAAAGCAUAAUUUAUGUCAUUAUAUAGCAUGAAAUAAUUUUAGCUUUUAAAUCAGUUACCUGUGCCAAAGCAAAAUAAAUUCUAUCUUUGUGAAUGUAAAUGGCUACUUUCCUGUUUAGCUAAAUGUGAGUAGAAUGGCACUCAGUAAUUUUUAGUUGAUUCCCUAAAACUAAGCCCUUCUUUGUUGUUGUAUAUUAGAAUUCUCCAUAACCAAAUUUUUCUUUUGCAUACACAUAACAAAUGUUCAUCCUUCAAAGGUACUAACUGAGGCAGGAGGACUGCAAGUUCAAGACCAACCUGGGCAACUUAGCGAGACCCUCAGCAACUUAGCUAGACCCUGUCUCAAAAUGAAAAGGUUUGACAGUGUAGGUCAGUAGUACAGCACCAAUCUCAUGGACCACAAAAAUAAAUAAACACAUGCACAUACUCUAACUGCAUUUGAUUUUUCGCGUUGUUUUCUAAAAUGUGCAUGUAGCAUAUCAGACUAUAUCUUGGGUACUUUUUAGUUGAAUAUCAUCAAAUGAUGUGUAUCAUGUGACAUUGUAGAGCAGAAGUUGGGGAAUUCCUGCUUUUGCAUGGUCUGCAAACUAAGAAUGAUUUGUACGUUUUUAAAUGAUUGAAAAAAAUAUUUAAAGACAUAAAAAUUAUGUAAAAUUCAAAUUUCAUCAUCCAUAAACAAAACUUUAUUGAAGCACAACCACAUUUAUCAAAUGUUAUUGAUGACUGCGUUCUCAGUAGUCUAAUUUUCUAUGAUGGCAGAGUUGAGUAGUUACAACUGAAAUGAAAUCUAUGUCUAAAGUUUACGAUAUUUCCUAUCUGGUGUUUCACAGAUAAAGUUUGCCAACCCAUCAAAAAAAAAAAAGAUGGAUCUGGAAAAAAAUCCUUAGGGUAUUUUGAUACAUUGUUUUCCAAGUUCACCUUUUCCAGAUUAAAUUAUGAUUGUAAAGGUUUUUCUUUCUUUUCUUCUUUUUUAAUAUAUUCACUGCAUUUUGAAUUUUGAUCUGGAGAAACGUGAUUGUAAUUGUUGAGGGAGGAGUGUGUCCUAAAAGCCUAAUUAUCCUCUCCUGGAAAAAGCAGUAAGCAAUAAUGUUGUGAGCAGGAACCUGCAAAAACAGGAGGUGGAAACCAGAGGUAAGCCAGUGGAAAUUAAUGUUUAUUCUGUUUUUUUUUAGUAUCCACCAGAUAAGCAUGAUAUGUCAGUAGAAAAUGGUGACAGUCAAGCCAAGUUUCAUGUGAUAAUCCAAUAAAACUUGUAACUAAUAUAGCUUCACACAUAUUUAUCGAUAUGUAUAAUCAUGUGUUGCUGCUUGGCAAUAAGCAUUAAAAAUGAGUUGGUCAAAGAAUUGAGUUUAAGUAAUGCUUUACGUUUAAGUAGUGAAAUAUCUCUUGGGGUGGGGUGGUGAAGGGUGGGGUGGAGAAAGGGGAAUUGGGUGGGGUUGGUAAACAACUCUGCAGUGCCUUUGAAAACCCCUACUUUGGUUUCACUGCCUUACAGACAGGGAGUAGGGCUUUCUCUCAGAUUAUUAGAUCCAGGCUUUGCUAACCACACUGUGCUGUCUAGUAGAGGAAGGGUUGCUGGAGGAGGCAGAGACCAAUCAUGUGAAACCCUCUCCCACAGGGAGGAAUGGGAAAGAUGCUCUGAAGCCCCCUGGAGAUCCCACACCCUGCUCUUGUUUAUGCUUUUCUUUCUCUUCCCUCACCCUAAUCUGAGCUCCAGAAUGGCAGGGCACCUGUGUGUCCUAUCCACCCCUGUGUUCUCGGCACCGACAGUAAGCGUGGACAUGGCAGACACAAAAAAUAUUUUUUUGAUAAAUGAAUAAAAAUGACCUUGAUCUCCUGGACACAGAUUAUCAGGUGUACUUCCUAUCCUCUGUCUCUGUCGCAUGUGUGCCUAUGUUUUCCCCAAACUCUUAAUUUUUAUUUGUAUGCACACUAAAAAGCUUUUUAGGGGAGGGUCUGGAAGCUGAAGAGGUGGCAGGAGGGGGAGUAGCUACCUUUCAUCUUAGUAUUAGAUGGAAGUGCUCACAUUGUGCAGCAGUGAGGGGCAUCCUCUCUGCUCCAAGAAAUGAGGAUGACCGAGGUGCUUGGGUAGCUCCAGAUGCUCCCCAGGAAUGUGAAGCCAAAGGCAGAGGAUGCAGCCCAGGGAACCUGUGAGAGGAAAGCAGGCACAAGUGUCCCCACUCCCACGUCAUGUACCCCUUCUUCAGACUCUUGAAGUCAUCUUGAGCUUUGCUAGAGGAUUCUGAGUCCUGUGUGAAUUCUCCCCUUAAAAGCCCUCAUAUACUUAAAAGGAAGUAGUGAAGGCUAGAGAAGUGCAGGGAGAGGAGGAGGAAAAGGUGAGGACUCCUACUUACCUGGCCAGGGUGGGAGAGCAGCCUGACAAGGAAGCCACUGUGAGGUAGAACCACCCCUCAUAAUGUAUGCUGUAUUUUAUGGUUUUCCAAGCAUAUUAAUAAAUGAAUUGUUACAUAACUUAGAGUCUCUGGUGUGCAAUGAUUUUAGCCUGGGAACUGGGAGUAGAGGACAGGAGGAAAAUCUCAGGUGGGCAUGGGCUCCUAUUGGGCCAUGCAGAGACAUCUUUGAAAACCAGGGAGCCCCUUUCCCCCAACGGCAGAACCACCCAAGCCCUAGCACCCUCUGGCUCUGGUGAGUGAGGCAUACCACGCUCCUGUGCUUCUGGGGAGGGAAGGAAGCCUUGACCCCUCCCUACCUCAGUAUCUGCCAGCUCUGCCCCCACAUUAUGAAAUCCUCAUCUUCCCCCUGUCCCACCUGCCACUGUGAGCUGGCCCCAAGGACAACAGAAGAUCUACCCUGACACAUUUUGCAAAGGACACGUCUUAAUAAGUACAAUAAUGAAACCAUAGACCACCUAGGUAGGUGUACAAUAGGUGUGAACAGCAUGUUGCACAGAUUGUUUUUACACAAGGACAUAGUAUUACUAGAAAUUAGAAGGUGAAAGAGGACCUUCCAUGCACCUUAGGAAGAAGACAAGUAGUUUUGUUUUGUUUUAUAGGGCAGUGGGUCCUGGGGAGUAGCAGAGAAUAUGAGCCCUGAUAAUGAGACAGACCCUUCUCUAGAGAGGCCAUGGGCAAGUCCAUUUCUUUAUCUAUAAAAUGGGCAUAGGGCCACCCCCUCAAAGGUUUGUGAGACGAUAUGUAAGUAACAUACAUAAUUUAAAAAAAUGCUCAGUAAAUGGCAGUCAUUAUCCGUUUUCAAAAGCUAGAAGCAUGCAGCCCUUGAAGCUUUAAGCCCUGUACAUAUAUGCUUAUGUUAGCAUCACUCCAAACUCCAGAGCAACAGUCAAUAAUCAGCAUGUGUUUUGCUUUGUGGAGAACAUGGUGACUCUAUCUCAAAAAAUUAGGUUUAAGGUCCAAAGUAAAAAGCAGAAGGGAGGUCUUCCCUUCCAUCUUGCUGGGUCAGUCAUCUUCUAUUCAGAGGGGAGGAUCCUGGGCCAAGUGUGUGUGUGGUCAACACUAGGAAGCAUGCCUGAGAUGGUGCAGGAAGUACUCCAUCAGCUGCCCAGUCUUCCUUCUUCUCCAGCAAUACUGUGGACAUUCUGCUGUGCCAGAAGAUAUUGCUUUUCAUUAUGGAGAAGUCUCCAAUUGCUUUUCUGUCUUAACUAACAUCUAUAUUUGGUUAUCACAGACCUGAGAGAAACUAAUGAUACUUUACAAUAAGACUAUGAUUGAAUUACCUUCUGUUAAUUAGGAAUUUCUAAAUCACCUUUAUCCCCUUGGAGAAAAGACUUGAUAUAAAUAGGCAGUAAUAACAGUAGUGCUAUGUUUAAUUCAAAUUGUAUCUUUUGAAAUUUAAUUAAUUUAGUAAUAACAGUUUUAAACGAGCAUGUCAGAACUCUAAAUGGUCCUUAGUGACUUGAAAGAGUUAAUAUAGCAUCCAGAAGUUCCUAAACACUCUCCAGAAGUAGCUUGCUCUCUGAAUAAUUGGGUUUAAUCAGCUCAAGUUCCCCUUUUUCUCCUGCAGGAGUAGUUCAGGCCAGGAUGUGAACCAUUCUGACUAGUUCUUUUUUUAAAUUUUUUUUUAAGUUGGUGAUGGACCUUUAUUUUAUUUAUUUGUAUAUGGUGCUGAGAAUCAAACCCAGUGCCUCAUGCAUGCUAGGCAAGCGCUCUACCACUGAGCCACAACUCCAGCCUCCUGACUAGUUCUUUGGAGACACCUCUCUCCAUGUAAGAUGUAACCUCUCAACUAUCUUAAAACCUUCCAAGACUGGGGAAGACAUAUUGGACCUGGCCUGCCUUUGCCUCUUCCGAGGCAGGUACUAGAGGCAGAAGCCAGUGGACCUAGCAUCCACACAGGUCUAUGUCUGGCUAUCCACAAGCCCUGUGGGAAGUCCCUUCCAAAUUGCUAAGGCCCUUCACUUAACCCUCAUCCCUUCCUCCUCUUGUGACCAUAGAGGAUAUUUGAGCACAAUGUGCACUUAAAUUUCCUGCCACCUUAGACCGUAUGAGAACUUCAUGUAAGCACAGUUAACGGAAAUAAGAGGCGUUGUCUAGUGUGACAUGCCUGUGGGCCUGGUAGAUGAUGUUUGUGCAUGUACAUCCUUGAGUUAACCCUGGUGCAAAACAAUUCUGCAUGUGCUAACAACUAUUUACCAUGUGCUGUAAAGUAUUUACUUUGUGCAAAUAUUGGGACAAGGCUUUCCACAGUAAUUACAUAAAAAAUGAUAUGUUGCACACCAAGUUCUUCCCAGAAAAGAUAUCUGGUCAUAUAAGACUGACCAUAAAAUAGAGGAAUAGAGGAUCAUUAUAAUUUAAGGACACAAAGAUUUACUGUACAAAUGCUCUCCAUAUAGAAAAGCAUAGCAUGAUGAACUACUGCAUGAACUGGUAGAAAUUAUAUAGCUUUUCUAGGUGGUUUUAUAAUUGCAAUGGAGUUCCCUUUUAUAGUAGCUUAGGUUCUGUUUUUGUUGCUGAAAUCUCAACAUUUUUUGUUUUCCUUCUAUAAAUAUCUUACUAUAUAGGUCCAAAAACAGUACAAGAUCAAAUCCAAAAUUCUUUACAUUUUUUGAAAUUGUUUAUUUCCUGAAAUAAGAUGAAAUAACAUUUCUAACUUAAGUUUUUGAUCAAAACAAAACUAAAAUUCGAAAUCCAGAAAUUAUAAAAAUUUGCAAACAACUUAUAGUAGAAUAAACAUCUGAAGUCUAUAAAUGGACUUCAUAACUUAAUCUUUUGGUGCAGUUGGAGCUGCUGGUUUUCCAGAGCCCUUUUCAAUUUUCCUCAAGCUAUUUUGUACAAUGGAGCUUUGCCAGCCCCUGGUCUAUUUAAAUAUGUCUGGGACCACAUGGAGACUUCCAGUAAUGUCAAUUCUCAAUUAGGCUAGAAAUAGGAGUGAAUUCCUUUUAAAUCAAAGUUGGGUUUUGAUGUUACAGUUUAUUCAGUUGCUUGCAUAAAAUAAAAAUUUCUCAUCUAAUCUAAAAUAUAGUUGUUGAGAUAACUCACCCUGGUCUAGUCACUGAUUAACCCCUAUACUCUUGUCUCUGUGAUUCUCUUUUCUUUUUUUCUCCAUCUAUUCCUCUAGAAGUGCAACCCCCCACCUCUUGCCCAAUUCCCUCUGUGCUGUGUUUCCUUAUCUUUGCCCCUUUCUCCUCUUCUCCCUGCCUAGCAAAUGUGUAUUACUAAGGACUUCUAGUGGCUGCAUCUGGAAGUGCCUUACAGAAAUACCCACAAGCAAAAGCAGUCAUCCAUCCAGCGUACCCUGAAUGCCAAAGCAACUGAUAGAGAGUAGGAACUUAGGGAAUAUGUUGGUUGUUUUGACUACAAGGUACUAUUUGUGUUCGUGAAUUUUAUGCUGAAUCCAAAUGAUGGUUUGGGUGAGGUGAACGGCAGUUCAGUUCAGAGACUGCACUUGAAGUUUUAUCUGUAGAAUACAGCCCCUUUUCAGUGUUUUAAUAUAGUUGUAUAUUAAUUUAGAAUGGGAAGUGAUAGAGACACUGAUUGUGGUAUAGCAGGUGUUUCAUAAUGUGAAAAUCUCCUUAAUACCAUGUGACUUGUUAUUUUAUAGGAGUUUAUCUGAAAUUUAGUGCAUAUUAGGAGAGCCACAUUGACCCCUGGGGACCACCUAGCUUUGAAAUGAGCUUUAUGAAAUGUUAAGAACAUAUUGAAGAGGUAAGGAAUUCUUGGCUUUCCAAAUGGAGACCCUGGGUCACUCAUAACUCCUAAUUCACAGAUUUCUGUAGCACUUGGCAUCUAUUCUCUGGCAAAGAAUGAUUGUUAAAAUAGUUGAGUACAGUGUUGAGGCAGGCUUAUGCAAAGUUAAAACCAUGCUUUGGUUGAAUAUGAUAGAAACUGAGAAUUCACUUUAUAAUAAAAUUGCAUAGGAGAAUUUUGUUUAAAAAUAUCCAGAAAGAUUUUUAAAAUGCUGUUUCCUUUACAAUCAGUGCUGGGAUAAACACAUGUUUUGAAAAUGUGAAAUUUGUUAGAAUGCCAUUGAUACAUCAGGGCAUAGUUGGAACAUAACUCAAAUUUCUUAUUUGCUUGUGCACACUUUUGUCCAUAAGAACACUAGGUAACCAGAAAAUGGUCUGGGGUGAACUGAGUGUACAUACACUGCACCCCUCAGAAGUCUACUAGCAUCUUUGAUUCACUGAGUGUAUGAGCUAUAUCCAUCUCUAUCUUGUAUAAUAACUUUCCAUUAGAUUUCAGAGAACACCCCUUCUACCACUUCACAGUAACUCAUAAGCGACAGCCCUGUCAAUGCCCACUUCUAAAAGCGACCUGCAGAUAUUUUUCAAGGUAAAGUGCCACAUUUAUUGUAGUAUGUUUCAUUCUUUAGCCAUUCAACAUGCAGAACUGUAAUGUUGCUUUUGAUUCCUGUCUUUUUUUAAGUGUUACUUCAAAACUUUUACUGUUGUGUCCUUGACCUUUUCCCCUAAGAAGCCCUAUUUUUUUAAUUAAAUAUUUGCUUUUUAGUUAUAGUUGUCAAUACCUUUAUUUUAUUUAUUUAUAUGUGGUGCUGAGGAUCGAACCCAGGGCCUCGCACAUGCUAGGCAAGUGCUGUACCACUGAGCCAUAGUCCCAUCUCCAGCCCUAUGUUUUUUAUUGCAUAGUUUUGUAUAUUGCCAUGAAUUUUAGGAAUGCAUGAGUAGCACUAUUGCAGAACUAUCAGUACUGCAAUUAUAUUCUCCAUAAAUACCCAAGAUCACCAAACGAUCAAAUCCAGAGCUCUUGAUAUUGUGGAUUCCCUCUCCUUCUAGAAACUCUCUCCUCACACAUCUGUUGAUGUUUAAUAUCCUUCCUCUUUCUUCCCUCUGAUGAUUCCCAUACCUCUCUUUUUGUUCCUCUGUCUACUUGUUAAUUUGAGUGAUUCUGGAGCAUCACCAUGAUGCUCAUUUAUCUUUAAAAUUCUUCCCUCAGUAAUGUACAUAUUCUUUCAACUCAGCUGCCAGCACUGUGCAGAAAAUUCUCAAUUUUCCAAAUGCCAGACCCAGGCUAUACCCAAUUUUUGGUUGAACUGGAGGAUCUCACAAGACUUUCUUCAGCUCACCUAAGGUGGAAGUCUACAUCCUAAUGAGUUGACACAUUUAAGGCCCUGGGAAGUGCAGUUUUCCCUCUACACCAUCUUCAGCUCUCCUUCCUGUGCCCACAGAUCAACUUGAGGUCACUCUCUCCUUUCACAAUCUCUUCACUUCUUUUCUUUCCCAGUGUGUCUCUUGUAGAGCAGUGGCCUUGUCUACUCCCUGCCCCCACUUCCAUGUUUCCUGCCCCUCAUUGCUUCUUUCAUACUGAUCAUUCAUGGUUCUAAAAUUCUGCUUUGAUGACAGCACGCCUCUGCUUUAAACUGUCAGUAGUUUGUGAUGAAACUCAAAUACCACAGUGUCCAGUCCAGCCCUCUGCUCCUUUUCUGGUCAGAUUCCCCUUUUUUCUUCUAAUAUGAAUUGGAACACCAGAGAGCUGAAUGAAUUUUGCAGUUUUAAAUCUUGCCAUGCCUGCAACAGGAUCAUGUAUGUAGUAGCACCCAAAUGUCCUCCUUUCUUUUUUUUUAACCUUUAUUUUUAUUUACUUAUUUUUUUAAUGUGGUGCUGAGGAUCAAACCCAGGGCCUCACAUGUGCUAGGCAAGCGCUCUACCACUGAGCCCCAGUCCCCAGUCCCCAGAUAUCCUCCUUUCAAAGUUUGUUAACAGUUCAGGCAAGUCUUUAGGCUAUCUCUGUAAUUUUAUUUUAUAUAGGUUUUUUCCUAUAGUUUUAUAUUAUUUGAAUAGUGCAAACUGGGGAGGUAGAGUUUCUCUAGAAAACCAGGACACCUUGCUCUGGAAGCAAUUGGUUAUUUAGAAAGUGUUUUCAUAGUGAGCCUGCUGGAAGGGAUGAUAACCACAGUGCUUGGUGACAUGGCAAACCUCAACCCUUCUGUAGGAUCCACACUCUGCUCUCCCCUGUACAGCUGGAUGUGACCACAAUCCUCCACCAGUGUGGGUAGAAAGGGGAGCUGGGUUCAUUUGCAAAGAGGCUCCCAGGAAUAAGCCUUUUGUACCCCAACUCUUUAAUAUUAUGUUCAAAUAUUAAGUUAUGUUAUAUUUUCUCACAAUAACUUUAUAAAUGGUGCUGCUCCCAUUAGUUCAAAUGUAAUAUUUUGCUGUACUUUGAGCUGCACUAAAAGAAAGUUUUACCUCUGAAUUUUAGUUUAGAAGUCCCAGAUCCCAGUGUUCCUCCAUUUGAUUCUAAAAUUCUUCACCCACGCAGGGAUAAAUUAUUAUACAGUGUUAAAAAGAAAAAUUAUUAUUAACACAGAGAUGUUUCUUUCAAGAACACAGAACAAAAACACCAAAGCUUACAAAUUCCUGAGGGAACUCUUCUCUUACUUCCUCAUUCACUGCAUUAGUGAACUGAUUCACUUCCCAGGGUUGCACAGCGUGAGCUAAACAAUACCUGCGACAUCCAACUUUAAAACCUGUCUUAGUCCGUUUGUGCUGAUGUAACAGAACACUCCAGACAGAGUUAUUUAUAAAAACUGAAAAUUAUUUUCUCACAGUUCUGGAGGCUGGGAAGCCCAAGAUCAAAUGCCAGCAUCUGGUGAGGCCCUUCUUGCUGUAUCCAGACAUACAAGGUGGAAGGGCAAGCUUCCUGAAUACUGUGUGAACCCCUUUUAUAAAGGGCUGUCUCCCAUCCACAGGGCAGGAGACCUCAUGGCCAAAUCACCUCUUCAAGGCCCCACCUUUAAAUAUUGUCAUAUUGGCAACACCUAAAUUUUCAGAGGGGACAUGUUCGAACUACAGCAGAGGCCGCCAUUCAGAUAAUUCUGAUUAAUUACUGUCUUCUGAAGAGCUCAUCCUUAACUCAUGCUAUUUUUUUAUUCAUCCCUGGAGACCUGAGGCAAGUUCUGCUCUGGUCCUGCUCAGGUCUUUCUUGAGCUUGGCAGUACCCAAAGCCACACCUGCCACAUGUCCUAAUAUGGAUCUCCAAGAUGGCUUUGGCAGUCGAGGGGCAUUCAGUGGUGAGAGCCAGGUACACUCCAUCAUUGGCAUGUUUGAAAACGAUGAUAUUUACUUGAGUUGGGGAAGAUACUUACCUGUUAUAUGUCAGGUAAUCAUGGAAUCCAUGGCAGAGAAUGAACCUAUUCUGCUGUCUAGUUGAUCUAGGACCUCUUCAACUUUGCAACUUCAUUAGAAAUAGCUACAACAGAAGCAGCUGCACAUCUGUGUGUUAAGUACAGGGGCAGGCAGAGGAAGGAGUUAGAAGGUGGGGAUUUUCUAUCUGAAACUGAGGUCGGCACAAGAUAAAGGAAAAAAAAAUAUCUAGAACUCAUAAAAAUGUUGCCACUAAAACUUCUUUCAACAAUACCUGAAAAUUACUUGCAAACUACUUUUAUAAUUAUUAACAGAAUCUGUGUUCCUGAGAUGAAAAGAAUUGUCUAAAAUCAGAUAUAAGAUCCUUAUGUAAAACCACAGAAUUGCUUAUUCUGAAAGCAAAAUUUUCCUGGCUAAUAAAGCAAGUUUCAAAACAGAAAAUAUGGGAGGCAGAGGCAGGAGAAUUGCAAAUUAAGAAGCAAACCUCAGCAACUUAGUGAGGCUGUAAGCAACCUAGUAAGAACCGGUCUCAAAAAAAAAGGAGUGAAAGGGAGUGGCUCAGUGGUUAAGCACCCUUCAAUUUAAUCCCUGGUACCAAAACAAACAAAACCCCAGAAAAUAAAGAAGCUGUGUAUAGAAACCUAGUAACAUAUUAGUAAAGUUUUUCUCAGAGCCCUGUCUAUGACAGAGAAGUUUACCUUAUGCUAACAUGGGGAGAUACUUUCGAAAUGCAGCAUUCUUAUGAAAGGCCUUUGGUUUUCUUCCAGCUUAAUAAAAUAUAAAUUUUAAUUUUAAUUUUGCUUUUAGUUGAAACUUCCUUUUUAUCUGCUUGAGUCCUGUAUGAAAACCUUGUAUUAGAGUUGAUCAAAUUUAUGAAAUGGGUUUCUAGGCUAUGUUAAAACCAGAGAUUUUUCCUAACACAUUAGUUCCAGAAAUUUAGGAGGUACUGCUAACAGGUCACUAAUGUAAAAUCCAUUAGCAACAACUGUAUAAAUGCAUCUUGCACUGAAUAAACAAUUGUGCCCUUGUGGUGAGUUCUUCUGGUUGGCACAAGGGUGUCUGAUUACUGUGCCAAGACUUGUACCUAUGUGCUUAAAGGGGAUUGAUAAAAAUAAUUCACUUGAAUUAAUGCAAAUAAUGCUUUAAUAGUGCUUGAGUUUGGGGAAGAUACUUACCUAGAUAAUCUGACAUAGCCACUCUGCUUGGCCUUGCAUGCUGUUGACACACUAAUGUAGCGUACACAGAGAUAACAAAAUGAAGCCAUUUAUUAACUCAUGUUUGUUGUUUUGUUAUUCCUUUGGCUCAUCUCCUGAUAUUAUUCCCUACACAUUUGCUUUCAUCUAAUCUGAGGUGCUUAUUCUAGUAGUUUCACAUUAAAAGCAAUGAUUUUUCUUUUUUAUAAAAAUGAAUUGCUAAGAGGGGCCAAGUAAUUUAUUUAUUGCUGAAUUUUUCUUAAAAAAUUUGUUCUCUCAAAGUGUCAUAUAGAAAUAUUACUUGAAAAAACUGGGAUUGGGGAGGGUAGCUUAGUGGUAGAACACUUGCCUAGUAUGUACAAGGAAGGCUAUGGGUUCAGUCCCCAAUGCUGCUUAACUAAUUAUUUUAAGAAAAAAGGAAAAAACGACUGAGAGCCAAUGACAGUAGUUAAGAUGAUACCGCCAUCUGCAUUACAAAAUUACCCUCUGCCUUUUGUGUCCUUCUGGUUGAAAUGCUCUUUCCUCCUUACUAUGCGGUUGCUACUCAUGUGUCAAGAACUAUUAUGGUAUUGUGUAGAAAGCAAAGCUUUGAAGUCAAAUGGAAUACCAGUUUCAUCAAUGAUUAAUUCCAGUCCCUUUGCCUAUAAUUACAGAAACCUGAGGAAAGUGACUUACUUUCAGUGUUCACAUCUGUAAAACUAACGUCUUAUAUGCCCACUUCACGUGGAUAAUGCUUGUUAUAAAGUAGCAGACUCAGACAGAAAGUGCUCCCUACUAGAUCAACUGGCCCCAUGCUGCCCCUGCUGUGCCCUCAGUGCCAUGUUCUCUUCCUUUAGUGGUAAUUGUCAGCUGAAUAAAAGGAAGACAUCAGCCAACUCUCAGGAAGGAAGGCACAUUGCUUCACCCUUCCCUUCCUGCACUCUAGACUUGGUGCCCUUGCAGGAGCUCACAGCCCAGAGUGCUUCCUCAAUAAGAGGGUCUCUUACACCCUAGGGGAAUUUACUAAUACUGCAGGGUUGAAAAUUAGUAGUUGGGCAUACUUGCACAGCUGAAUUCCCAGGAACUUGGAAGAUUAAGGCAGGGGAAUCUCAAGUUUCAAUAAUCUCAAAUCUCAACAAUUUAGUGAGACUGUCUCAAAAAAAAAAAAGGGCUGAGGAUGUAGUUUGGUGGUAAAGCAAACCCCUGGGUUCAAAUCUCAGUACUGAAAAAAGUUAUUGAGGAUUAAUGAGCUCAUACUAUGAACAAGAACUCUAAACUGUCUACCAAACAUUAAUUUAAUUACAAAUAGGUACCUGAUUUAUAAAUCUGUACCCCAAAACUAUAAAAAGAUAUAAAUUGUCUGUUACUCCUUUCUAAGGAAAUUGUGCAAAUAUUUAAUAACAAGUAUGACAAAGUGAAUCAUCUCUGCUAAGGACUGGAAAUGUUUUCUUCCUGUCUUGUCUAAGUUUUGCUGAUUGUUUACCAUAUACCUCCCUCUCCUAUCUGGUUCCCUCAGGAAUUCCUAAUAUUGUCUGUUAAUGUCUGUUCCUAUUUACUUCCAAACCUGAAAAUGUCUUCUUACUUUGUAUUAGCCAUCCACAUAUUUUAUAUCUUGCUCUUAAGAAGGGAGUGGGUAGCAUAGUCAUCCCCAUUGUUAGGAGAGGAGAACACAUCCUUUGGUGGGCAUCAACAUGGAUGCCAUUACACCACAAGUACCCCACCAAAGGGCUGUGGCUGAAGAAUAUUCAACUUUACACCCUCAAGAGCUUACUGGCUAUAGUAGCAAUGCUGCAUUAUGCUGUAGUUAAUUUGGGUUCGUCUGGGUUCAUCUGUCUUCUUUCUCUACCAUACUACCAGAAUCAGCAACCGUUCUUUAUUCAGCCUCAGCACUUAGCUCAGAGUCCCACACUUAAGGGGCCUCAGUAAAUGAUUGUUCCAAGAACAAAUGAUCCUCCAUGUAUUGCAAGGUGCAGGAGGCAGACAAACUUCCCUGUCCACACCCUCGAUGUGUCUCUCUUAAGCCUUGCAUAUAUUUUACAGCUGAGAGGUGCAUAAUUAUUUAGCCUUUGGUGAUACUUUUCUCCGGAAGAUGCUUCUGAGAAUAAUAAUGUGAUUUGUUGUUUCUCUGAGCUUCAUCACAGCAGGCUUUCCAAGUAAAACUAAAAUUAGUAAUGAGUGUUGGAAACAUUGCCAGUGAACAUAUGAAAGGAAGUCAUGCUCAUUCAUCUAAUUUUGGGCUACCAGAACAUGCUUUGCCAGGCCUCCUGGGUAAAUGGGGAGUCAACCGUGACAUCUACCAUGUGCAAGUGUCUUCCUGGAGCCAGUCAUUCCACGCACAUCCUUUCAUUUAAUUCUCACAUUAUGAGGUGUAAUGUCUUUAAUAAGCGCAUUUUACAAAUAGGAAAUUAUGGUUCUGUAAGAUUAAAUGUUCUCCUGGAUGAUAAAACUAAUGAAUAGCAGAAUCAUAACUGGAACUCAUAUAAGCCCUUUCUGUUGCUAUUACCCACCCCUCCAUGAUUUGCUUUGCCCACUCUUCCCUGGCAGAUGAUCUACGUGUGUGAGAGCUGGAUGCUGCCUUUUUCUUCUCCAUUGCUUUUCUAUUGCUCCUGUCCUACUCUUUUUGCUUCAUGACUCAAUUCAUUUUUUUUUUGCUUUAAUUUGUUUUUCUUUUUACUGUAUUGAAUGAUGGAGGCAUGACUGGCCAGUUCAUUGAUACUGAGCUAUGACAACUACCAUCCUUGCUUGAAGAAGUCCUUGCCUCUUUGUAAUUCCCAUCUGGCUUGACAUCAAAGCUGAAAAAGGUUACUGAUGACGGUAUGAACCUUUUCAGUAUGCAAAUUUGUAAUGGCACAAAUGACUUUAUAUCAGCAUGAUAGAGUUUUUAACUAUUCAUUUUUAUCACUGCCUAUUCAAUGUGUCAAGCUGUAAAGUAGAAUAUUUUAAUUUACAGGAAUGACUCAGAUCUUGAAGAAUGAAUGUGAAAAUACUGAGUUCCAAGGUGCAAGCCUUACCUCUAGGCUAUGGACUCUGUGUGUGUGUGUGUGUGUGUGUGUGUGUGUGUUUUACUGGGGAUUGAACCCAGGGGUACUCUACCACUGAGAUACAACCCCAACCUUUUUAUUUUUUAUUUGAGGCAGGGUCUCACUAAGUUGCCCAGACUGACUUCCUCCUGCCUUGGACUCCCCAGUCUCUGGGAUUACAGGUGUGCACCAUCACAGCCAGCUUAGGCUAUGGAAUUCUUGAAAGGGACUAUAUCCCAGUUUAUACCUGGGGGCUGCCGCUAGUAGGCGCUUCCUGAAUAAUGAAGACAUAUUAAAUUUUGAUGUUCACUAUGGUUUUUUUUAGAAUAGAGGAAGCUUUUGAUAAAUGCUGUUUGACUAGCUUAAAGAAUCUUUUGCACUACUAAGAGGCAUGUUGGAUUAUACUUCAGUUUAAAUAAGGAUAACUAAUAAGAAUGGUGUUCUUUAAAUUAUACAAAUAAAUCUACAUAUAUUGAGUUACUAUAAAAUAAUUACUCUGGUAGUUAGUGAUAAAAGCUAUAAAUAAAAACAAGACAGAAAGUAAAAGAAUGGGUAAGUGUUAUUUAAAAUAGGAUGGUCAUGUAAAAUAGGUGAGUAAUAUUAUAAAGAAAAAUAUUUGUAAUUAAAAUGCAGAAAAUUAGAAUCUAUACUAAUCAAGUGUCAUAAUUGCACCCAUUUGAGCUCAGAGAGUUGAAUCUGGCCAUCUUUGUUUUUAUAUUGUGAUUUUAGAACCAAUAAGAUUUCUUCAUACAAGUCUUUUUCCUAGCUUUUUGUUGAGUAAAAUCAUUAGUCAGAUGUGCCCUGAUGCUUUCUUUUCUUCAAGGUUUGGCUCUUAAAACAAGCACAUAUAAUUUGGAACAAGACAUCAAAACUAUUAUUUUUUUAAAAAAAAAGAAUGUUAAGAGGAACAUUUAAAAAUGCCAGGGAUUUUUAGUUAUCAUUUGUGAUGAAUGGCAUCACAUAAAUGCUGUUUUGUAAAUUCUUAUUGUAUGUUUUAAUCUAAUUUUCAGAUGAAGAUGAUUUGACUAAAUGGGUGAAAUGUGUAGGUGUUAGAACUUUCUAUAAAAUUAAAUUGAAUAUUUUGUUGAAAUGAUGACCAAAAAUAUGAUUUGAAAUUCAGAUUAGAUGAGCACACAUUUUUAUUUACAGGAUUUCACAAUGAAACUGGUUUAAUUACACGUAGCACAUAAACCUAUCCACAGCCUUGUGUAAGUUGUUAUGUAGGGAGCACGAUUUUAUCACUUUUCACCCACAGUUUGAACUUGAGUCAUGAGAGGUCAGGCCUGGUUGCCAUCCUCAGGUGUGAUCUCAUGUCUGGAUGUUUCCUUUACAGAUGAUUCAGUCCCUCAAGGCAUUGAUUGAAAACGCGGACUCUGUGUAUGAAAAGAUCGUGCAUUGUCAGAAGGCAG
rnacentral:lncRNA from 1 species